rnacentral:rRNA from 1 species
ACGAACGCUGGCGGCUGCUUAACACAUGCAAGUCGAACGGAGUGGCGAACGGGUGAGUAACGCGUGAGCAACAUGCCUAUGACAGGGGGAUAGCCUCGGGAAACCGGGAUUAAUACCGCAUAGUCAUAGAUGGGCUCGCGUCUGAUUAGCUAGUUGGGGAGAUAACAGCCCACCAAGGCGACGACCAGUAGCCGGUCUGAGAGAAUGAGCGGCCACAUUGGAACGGAGACACGGUCCAAACUCCUACGGGAGGCAGCAGUGGGGAAUAUGGCACAAUGGCGGAAACCCUGAUGGAGUUAGGCCGCUUGAACGAAGAAGGUAUUCGUAUCGUAAAGUUCUGUCCUAUGGGAAGCAGUACCAUAGCAGAAAGCUCCGGCUAAAUACGUGCCAGCAGCCGCGGUAAUUC